rnacentral:rRNA from 1 species
GACGAACGCUGGCGGCGUGCCUAACACAUGCAAGUCGAGCGAACAGACGAGGAGCUUGCUCCCCUGACGUUAGCGGCGGACGGGAGAGUAACAUGUGGAUAACAUACCUAUCAGACUGGGAUAAUUUCGGGAAACCGGAUCUAAUACCGGAUAAUAUAUUGAACUGCAUGGUUCAAUAGUGAAAGACGGUUUUGCUGACAGUUAUAGCUGGAUCCGCGCCGCAUUAGCUAGUUGGUAAGGUAACGGCUUACCAAGGCUACGACGCGAAGCCGACCUGAGGGGGUGGUCGGCCAGCCUGUCAGAGAGGAACGGUACCGACACCUGCAGGAGGACACGGUAGGGAAUCUUACGCGAGGCGCGAGUGCCGGACGGAGGAACGCGGCGUGAGGGAUGAAGGUCUUCUGAUGCGUAAGCGCUGUUGUUAGGGGGGUUCAAAUGUGUAUGUAACUAUGCACGUCUUGACGGUACCUGAACAAAAAGCUACGGCUAACUACGUG